rnacentral:lncRNA from 1 species
GUUAAAAGCUAGGGCUAGGAUUUGGAGGAUGUGUAGGCAAACGGAAGGAGAGCCGGGGGAAGAAAAACCGAAAUGGAUUCAUUCUCUGUCCUGGAUGGAGGAGGAGAAGAGAAGAGAAGGGCACGUGAAAGCUUCCUUCAACUGCCUCUGUCCGGUGAAAAGUGAUCAACCCCCCGGGACUGAAUAGAACUCAAGAGUCCACGCGGACUUUCGCUUUAUCCUGCCAAUCAAACUGCUUACUAGACAACACCCUGAUCUGGCAUGGACAU